CGGCAAAAGCUCAAAUUUGAAAUCCCCCGGGAAUUGUAAUUUGAAGAGAUUUGGGUCCGGCCGGCGGGGGUUAAGUCCACUGGAAAGUGGCGCCACAGAGGGUGACAGCCCCGUGAACCCCUUUAACGCCCUCAUCCCAGAUCUCCAAGAGUCGAGUUGUUUGGGAAUGCAGCUCUAAGUGGGUGGUAAAUUCCAUCUAAAGCUAAAUACCGGCGAGAGACCGAUAGCGAACAAGUACAGUGAUGGAAAGAUGAAAAGCACUUUGAAAAGAGAGUGAAAAAGUACGUGAAAUUGUUGAAAGGGAAGGGCUUGCAAGCAGACACUUAACUGGGCCAGCAUCGGGGCGGCGGGAAACAAAACCACCGGGGAAUGUACCUUUCGAGGAUUAUAACCCCGGUCUUUAUUUCCUUGUUGCCCCGAGGCCUGCAAUCUAAGGAUGCUGGCGUAAUGGUUGCAAGUCGCCCGUCUUGAAACACGGAC
rnacentral:rRNA from 1 species